rnacentral:rRNA from 1 species
GAUGAACGCUGGCGGCGUGCCUAAUACAUGCAAGUCGAGCGAACAGACGAGGAGCUUGCUCCUCUGACGUUAGCGGCGGACGGGUGAGUAACACGUGGAUAACCUACCUAUAAGAUUGGGAUAACUUCGGGAAACCGGAGCUAAUACCGGAUAAUAUAUUGAACCGCAUGGUUCAAUAGUGAAAGACGGUUUUGCUGUCACUUAUAGAUGGAUCCGCGCCGCAUUAGCUAGUUGGUAAGGUAACGGCUUACCAAGGCAACGAUGCGUAGCCGACCUGAGAGGGUGAUCGGCCACACUGGAACUGAGACACGGUCCAGACUCCUACGGGAGGCAGCAGUAGGGAAUCUUCCGCAAUGGGCGAAAGCCUGACGGAGCAACGCCGCGUGAGUGAUGAAGGUCUUCGGAUCGUAAAACUCCGUUAUUAGGGAAGAACAAAUGUGUAAGUAACGAUGCACGUCUUGACGGUACCUAAUCAGAAAGCCACGGCUAACUACGU